rnacentral:rRNA from 1 species
UAAGGAAUAUUGGUCAAUGGACGCAAGUCUGAACCAGCCAUGCCGCGUGAAGGAAGACGGCCCUACGGGUUGUAAACUUCUUUUGUACGGGAAAAAAUCUCCGGUCGUGAAUCGGAGCUGAUGGUACCGUAAGAAUAAGCAUCGGCUAACUCCGUGCCAGCAGCCGCGGUAAUACGGAGGAUGCGAGCGUUAUCCGGAUUCAUUGGGUUUAAAGGGUGCGUAGGCGGACUAUUAAGUCAGUGGUGAAAUCCUGCAGCUUAACUGCAGAACUGCCAUUGAUACUGAUAGCCUUGAGUUUGGUUGAGGUAGGCGGAAUGUGUCAUGUAGCGGUGAAAUGCUUAGAUAUGACACAGAACACCAAUCGCGAAGGCAGCUUACCAAGCAAUAACUGACGCUCAUGCACGAAAGCGUGGGGAUCAAACA